UNUGACUUGAGUGCAGAAGGGGAGAGUGGAAUUCCAUGUGUAGCGGUGAAAUGCGUAGAUAUAUGGAGGAACACCAGUGGCGAAAGCGGCUCUCUGGUCUGUCACUGACGCUGAGGCUCGAAAGCGUGGGUAGCGAACAGGAUUAGAUACCCUGGUAGUNCACGCCGUAAACGAUGAGUGCUAGGUGUUAGGCCCUUUCCGGGGCUUAGUGCCGGAGCUAACGCAAUAAGCACUCCGCCUGGGGAGUACGACCGCAAGGUUGAAACUCAAAGGAAUUGACGGGGGCCCGCACAAGCGGUGGAGCAUGUGGUUUAAUUCGAAGCAACGCGAAGAACCUUACCAGGUCUUGACAUCCCGAUGCUAUUCUUAGAGAUAGGAAGUUACUUCGGUACAUCGGAGACAGGUGGUGCAUGGUUGUCGUCAGCUCGUGUCGUGAGAUGUUGGGUUAAGUCCCGCAACGAGCGCAACCCUUAUUGUUAGUUGCCAUCAUUAAGUUGGGCACUCUAGCGAGACUGCCGGUAAUAAACCGGAGGAAGGUGGGGAUGACGUCAAAUCAUCAUGCCCCUUAUGACCUGGGCUACACACGUGCUACAAUGGUCGGUACAACGAGUUGCGAGCCGGUGACGGCAAGCUAAUCUCUGAAAGCCGAUCUCAGUUCGGAUUGGAGGCUGCAACUCGCCUCCAUGAAGUCGGAAUCGCUAGUAAUCGCGGAUCAGCACGCCGCGGUGAAUACGUUCCCGGGCCUUGUAUACACCGCCCGUCACACCACGAGAGUUUGUAACACCCGAAGUCGGUGAGGUAACCUUUUAGGGGCC
rnacentral:rRNA from 1 species